CCCCGUCCUGGGCGCAGCCUGAUCCAGCCAUGCCGCGUGAGUGAUGAAGGCCCUAGGGUUGUAAAGCUCUUUUGUGCGGGAAGAUAAUGACGGUACCGCAAGAAUAAGCCCCGGCUAACUUCGUGCCAGCAGCCGCGGUAAU
rnacentral:rRNA from 1 species